UGACAGACCUUUCUUUAGCCGUGGUUGCCC
rnacentral:piRNA from 1 species